rnacentral:rRNA from 1 species
CGGACGUGAGGAACCUGCCUCAAAGAGGGGGACAACAGUUGGAAACGACUGCUAAUACCGCAUAAGCCCACGGCUCGGCAUCGAGCAGAGGGAAAAGGAGUGAUCCGCUUUGAGAUGGCCUCGCGUCCGAUUAGCUAGUUGGUGAGGUAACGGCCCACCAAGGCGAUGAUCAGUAGCCGGUCUGAGAGGAUGAACGGCCACAUUGGGACUGAGACACGGCCCAG